CUUCGCUCUGCUCCAGAAGGUGAGAGCUGAAAUCACGAGUAAGGAGAAAGAAGAAGAAGACAUGAUGGAGAAAGUUCAGAAGGAGGCCAAGAAGGACGUAGAGCCGGAGGAGAAGAUAGAGUUUAAGAGUCGUCUUGGU